AGCAGCCGCGGUAAUUCCAGCUCCAAUAGCGUAUAUUAAAGUUGUUGCAGUUAAAAAGCUCGUAGUUGAAUUUCGGGAUCAAUUAAUCGGUCGUGCCUCUGGUACGCACUGGUUUUAUUGGUUUCUCCCUUCUGACGAACCAGGAUGUCAUUAAUUUGGUGUCUUGGAGAAUCAGGACUGUUACUUUGAAAAAUUAGAGUGUUUAAAGCAGGCUAACGCUUGAAUACAUUAGCAUGGAAUAAUGAAAUAGGACGUUUGAUCCUAUUUUGUUGGUUUCUAGGAUCGACGUAAUGAUUAAUAGGGAUAGUUGGGGGCAUUAGUAUUCAAUUGUCAGAGGUGAAAUUCUUGAAUUUAUUGAAGACUAACUACUGCGAAAGCAUUUGCCAAGGAUGUUUUCAUUAAUCAAGAACGAAAGUUAGGGGAUCGAAGACGAUCAGAUACCGUCGUAGUCUUAACCAUAAACUAUGCCGACUAGGGAUCGGAUGAUGUUAAUUUUUAAUGACUCAUUCGGCGCCUUACG
rnacentral:misc_RNA from 1 species